GCCUCAGUAAUUCAGCGGUAGAAUAGCUGAUUCGUAAUCAGCAAGUCGCAGGUUCAAAUCCUGCCUGAGGCU
rnacentral:tRNA from 1 species